GAUGAACGCUAGCGGCAGGCCUAAUACAUGCAAGUCGAGGGGUAACAGGAAAGCUUGCUUUCGCUGACGACCGGCGCACGGGUGCGUAACGCGUAUGCAACCUACCUUAUACAGGGGGAUAGCCCAGAGAAAUUUGGAUUAAUACCCCAUGGUACUAUAGAUUGGCAUCAUGAAAUAGUUAAAGAUUUAUCGGUAUAAGAUGGGCAUGCGUUAGAUUAGCUAGAUGGUGAGGUAACGGCUCACCAUGGCAACGAUCUAUAGGGGUUCUGAGAGGAAGAUCCCCCACACUGGCACUGAGAUACGGGCCAGACUCCUACGGGAGGCAGCAGUAGGGAAUAUUGGUCAAUGGAGGCAACUCUGAACCAGCCAUGCCGCGUGAAGGAAGAAGGCCUUCUGGGUUGUAAACUUCUUUUAUAUGGGAAGAAAAAGCAUUGCGAUGUACUAUGACGGUACCAUAUGAAUAAGCACCGGCUAACUCCG
rnacentral:rRNA from 1 species